rnacentral:lncRNA from 10 species
GGAAAAUGUUAAAUGUUAUCUUUGCUGAUAAAGGAACAGAGGUCUGUGAAAUCUCUUCCACUGCAGCAGUACAAAAGAGAAGGUGAUAUAUAGUAAGGCAUCUCUGGACAAUUAGAGUCAUCAGCAACUUCAUUCAUUAUGCAGACGAUGAAAGAGACAUUCAGAGAGGUUAAAUAAUUUGCUCGUGUAUACACAACCAGUAAAUUGCAGAGCCAGGUAAAAUCUAGUUCCAUGUGAAUUUCCAAAUCCUCGUUUUUCUUUAUUCCAUUACACUUGAUAUGUUUAAUUGUUCUUUGUUUCUUGUAUUAUAUUGAGUUUGAAUUUGUUAUUCUAGUAACAUGAUAGUAUUAAUAUCCACAUUCAGUUGAAAGUGUUGGGCGAAUAGCAAUCAUGUGUAAUUAGUAUUCAGAGCUGUAUCAAGAAGUCUGUUUCAAUCUUUAUCUGUAAAAAAAUCCUCGGAUAACUAUGACUGCAAAAAACAUUUCACACAUAGAACAGACACAUUCACAGAAGUGAAGUAGAUUAGAGGUUAUCAGAGGCUGGAGGCAGGGAGAAGUGGUAAGUUAUUGCUUCAUUAUUACAUAGUUUGUUUAGGGUGAUGAAAAAGUUUUGGAAAUAAAUAAUGGUAGUGAUUGUAUAUCAUUGUGCAUAUAGUUAAAAUGCCACUCAAUUGUACACUAAAAAUGGUUAAAAUGGAAAAUCUUCUGUUUAUUUUACCAAAAUCUACUAAAAACAGACAUGAGGCCUCAAUAAACAAAAAUUCACAUGAUGGCCAUAGGUUUUUCAGUUGUAGAAAGUAAUAUUUUGGGGAAAAGCUCCAAAUGACUUGUUCAUAGCCUAGAGACUCUAAGAGAAAGUUUUUCACAAACACAGCCAAUCAUACUUAAAAUUUCUAUAUUUGAAUGGACUUUUUUAACCAUAGAAAAAUUAUAUUAAUUUACAAUGGGAAUUGUAACCAGAUAGGGAGCCUUUUGACUAACAUCAGCCAAUGUAUUCUUUUUCUGUGAGAAGCCAGAAUGACUAUUAUCAAAAACACAAAAAGUAACAGAUGCUGGCAAGGAUGCGGAGAAAAGGGAACUUUUAUACACUGUUGGUGGGAAGGUAAAUUGGCACAACCUCUAUGGAGAAGAAUAUGGAGAUUUCUCAAAAAACUUAAAAUAGGACUACCAUAUGAUUCAGCAGUCUCACUUCUGGGUAUAUAUCAAAAAGAAAGGAAAUCAGUAUGUCAAAGAGAUAUCGGUACUUGCAUAUUUAUGGCAGCACUAUUCACAACAGCCAAGAUAUGAAGUCCACCUAAGAGUUCAUUAGUGAAUGAAUGAAUAAAGAAAAUGUGGUGUACAUACGCAGGAGAAUGUUAUACAGCACCUAGCCUAGAACUAAGCACACAGUUGACAUAAUAAACCUAUAUUGCCUGUUUGUCUAGUAAGGAUAAUUUUUAGAAGAAAAUGUGGAUAUAAGUCUUAAAUAAAAGUGAAAACAUAAUAUAGAAAGUCCAUUUACAUAAUGAUGUAUAUAUGUAUGUGUAUAUAUAUAUUUAUAUAUAUAUUUCUUUGAAUGGCAUUCUGUAGACCUAGGCUAAUAAUAAUUCCUAUUUAAGUUUAAAAUGAACUACAGCGCAUGGUCAAAAAAAUGGUUCUCUAAUGAGAAAAUUUACUAUAUGCACCUUCCUACGAUAGUGCUUUAAAAGUGUUAAAAUAUAGAUAUCAACAUUAUAUUGUGUUUUCUAAAGACCAAGGACUCUUGAAGGUUUUAGAGCAACAAAUGGAUACUUCUCUAUUAGUCAAUAAAAUAUUCUGGAUAUAUGCAUAUGCAUUAAUUAAUAUAUUUUCUUUCUUAUUGCUUUACAUGUUCAGAGCCAAUAUGUUUUGCCCAAAAUAUUGAUUUUUGAUUAUGUAUAUAUUGCAAAAG